rnacentral:lncRNA from 10 species
UGGUCCCCUUCCCACUUCAUCCCCUCCCUCUCCAACACAGGUAAAGUUUAAAAGGUAUAGUUAGUCCCACAUGUCAGCAGGGCUUAACAAAUAAUAAGAAUGGCCCCAAGGGCUGGUCAUUUACCAUCUGCUUCCUUACCAACUGUGUUAGCCUAGGGACAGGCACACGAGUAUGAACCGAGUUGACCAAUCGGCCUGAAGGACAGGACCCCUGAUCCAUGCUUUCUCUCACUCUCUCCAUCUGGAUGUAAACAGAGGAGUACAUUCCCC